GAUGAACGCUGGCGGCGUGCUUAACACAUGCAAGUCGAACGAAGCACUUUGGACAGAUUCUUCGGAUGAAGUCCUUAGUGACUGAGUGGCGGACGGGUGAGUAACGCGUGGGUAACCUGCCUCAUACAGGGGGAUAACAGUUAGAAAUGGCUGCUAAUACCGCAUAAGCGCACGGUACUGCAUGGUACAGUGUGAAAAACUCCGGUGGUAUGAGAUGGACCCGCGUUGGAUUAGCUAGUUGGCAGGGUAACGGCCUACC
rnacentral:rRNA from 1 species